UGGGGAAUAUUGGACAAUGGGGGCAACCCUGAUCCAGCCAUGCCGCGUGAGUGAUGAAGGCCCUAGGGUUGUAAAGCUCUUUCGCAGGGGACGAUAAUGACGGUACCCUGAUAAGAAGCCCCGGCUAACUUCGUGCCAGCAGCCGCGGUAAUACGAAGGGGGCUAGCGUUGUUCGGAUUUACUGGGCGUAAAGGGCGCGUAGGCGGAUUUUUAAGUCAGGGGUGAAAUCCCGAGGCUCAACCUCGGAAUUGCCUCUGAUACUGGAAAUCUUGAGAUUGGAAGAGGUGAGUGGAAUUGUGAGUGUAGAGGUGAAAUUCGUAGAUAUUCACAAGAACACCGGUGGCGAAGGCGGCUCACUGGUCCAAUACUGACGCUGAGGCGCGAAAGCGUGGGGAGCAAACAGGAUUAGAUACCCCCGUAGUCC
rnacentral:rRNA from 1 species